rnacentral:lncRNA from 1 species
CUAUAGUAAAAUACUCUAACGAUGAAUGGAAGUAAAAUACCAGAAGAAAAGAAAUCAACCUGAGAAGAUUCAGGGACCUACAGCAUAGGUGAUGUUUUAAAGCAUUCAGUGUCCCUAGACCACACGUUGAAACAAUCUUUUUUACAGUAUAUGGCAUGUUGCUCUCUCUAUAAAUUUCCUAUCACUACAAAAGAGACACAAUGUUUUGGGGGCCUAUUGGGAUUUUGGAGACAACAUAUUCCACAUUUGAGAAUAUUGCUCUGACUCAUUAAUGAAGUUUCCCAGGCUGCUGGUCUCAAGUGGAAUCCAGAACAAAUGAGGGCUCUACAGAAGAUAUAGACUCUGCUCCAAGCUGCUCUGGCCACUGAGCCAGAUGAUCCAGCAGGAUUCAAAGAUGCUAGAACAUACAUAGUGGUCAUUAUAGGACUCUGUGCAUGUCUCUGACAAGCCUGUUGGAGAGGGGAGAGCAAAUCCCUAUGGAAUUAGUGUAAGACCAUUCUCUCUUCAGCAGACAAGUAUCCUCUGUCUGACAAACAAAAUAGCAAGUGCAGAAUAUUAAUCCAAGCAUAGAGUCCCUCUAAGCACAAGUCCCUAUAAGCACAAAACCCUAUGCAACUGUGGACGUCAUAUGCUCAUAAAGCCAGCCAUGACUGGAGGGUAUGAGCACGCCUCAGUGGCACAAGGAGUGGCGGUACUGGACACAAACAUGUGCUUUCUCAGAUUCUCUUCACUAUGUCCAAUUCCCCUGGCCAGCACCUUGCCUGAUCCAGGUCAUCCUUCUAUUUGGGACUUGAAUGCAUCACCACACUGUGGGCAUGAGGUCUGACUUUCAUGACCACCACCAAGGGACUGGAUGAUGUAAGACAGAACAGCAGAGAUGAUAGUUCUGCCUCAAGGAAACCCUGACCAAUAGGAAAUAGAAGACUAAUGACAGAUGAGCAGAUACAUUCUCCCUCCUCUCUCUCUUCCAUGGACUAAUGCCAGCUGUGGUUUCCCCUUGUAGCCCUUCUGGAAAAGUGCUGGAAGCCAAGUACAUGCAUCUGAUGACCAUCAUGCUGUCUCUCUCACCUCACUGUGAAGUGGCUGCCAUCAGGGUCAUACCAGACAUCACCACACAUUGUUUCACAUUUGUUCCGGUCUCAAUUUCCACACGUCCUUGCCAUUUUUGUCUUGAACUUGACUUCUAAAUAAAUGGUAGCACUUCAAUAACAGGUAUUACAUUAAAAACCUUGUCUCCAACUCAGACACCUGAUACAGCUGCAUCAAGACUAUAUUAUUGUCAUAUUUCCCCUAAAAUUGUGGAAUAGCCAAACUUUUCCUUAGGAGAAGGAUUCUGCUUGGAUAAGCCUGUAAUCUUAACCUGAGACUGGAACAGGGGAAUUCAUGCAACUGCAGAUUUUGUGUGAGUUUCCUUUUCACUGGUUUACCACAUCAACUUAUCCAUUUUAGCCACCCAUUUAUUUGUUCAUUAAAGUAUCAUUUUUGACCAUCUAUUCUUGGUGCUGGUUUCGAGUUCCUGGGAGUCAACAGAAAGCAAGACAGACAUUAUCUCUUUUUUUACAGUCCUUACAUUGUACUGAGGAAGAUAUAUGAUUAAAAAAAUACACAAAUCAGGUGGGGGGAUGAUUCAUCUUAAGGUUUAAAUCACAUUGUUUAAAUUUCAUAACACCAAGAAUUAAUACAGUCAAGUAGAAUUUAGCUGUGAACAAGACUGUACAUUUCUUUCUUAUAAUAGAACUUCCUAUUAAAGAAUAUGUCAACACCCUUUCAUUUCAUCAUUGAUGACAAAAUUACAACGUUAAGGCUCAUCUCAUAAUUAAUACACAGAUUUCAUAGAUACUUUUUUAACAUUUACAAAAAGUUUGACUGAAAUAUUUUCCACAAUUUAUAUAUUAUAUUUACAUUGAUUUUAUUUUUCAAAAAGAGAGGAUUUGAGUUCUCUUAUCUGAAGUUUAGAAGGAAUUUCAUAAAUGGAAGGUAAGGAUAUAAUUAGCAAUUCAGGGGCUUAAAAGUGCUUUAGAAAGAAUACUAAAAUAAUUUGCAUGAGAUCUCAACUUCAAAAACAGCUUUUCUUUAAUUCAAAAGCGGAAGAAAUGACGUUUCUAACUGCAUAUGCAUAACUGAUGAUACCAAUCCAGAUCAUGAUCAUGAUAUUUCAUCCCUUUAUUAGAGAAGGGAUUUUUUCCUAAGCUAUUCACAUAUGAAAUCUAAUAUUCCUCAGUACCGCUUAUGGUAGACAUACAUUAAAUUUACUCUGCAUAUGCUUCUCACUCAAAUUCUACUGUGUGCAUUCUUUUCUAACAAUAAUUCUCAUUGCUUUUUACUAAACAUAAAAUAGAAAUUCAUAAUGGAAUAAAACACCAAAGAUACAUCCUCAUUAUUGAUUUAGAAUUGAAUGACUUUACCAUCCAAUAAAUUCGAGGUUCAAGCAAUGAAUUCUAAGCACAAUGUGGUGUAUUCCUGUGGUUCAAAUAACAAUAGAAAAGAGCAAUAUUUAUCCUGGGAUAAGCUGUUACUUCUUAAUAAUUAUAAAUAGACAUCAUAAAUUCUACAAAUGAAAUAUAAAAUGAAUGAAAUAAACAUGGCUUCAAAAUUCUAAGAAGUUUUUGUCAUAUUUUGUAUAAUUUGGCAGUUUGUAUGAAAAAACAGAAAAGAGCAUGUUGUUGUCAAUGUUAAGUUU